ensembl:snoRNA
GGUUCAUGAUGACAUAGGACCUUGUCUGAAUAAUAAUGAUUUCAAAAUUUGAGCUUAAAAUGAAAUC